AUCAAAUUUGUACUUGUUUAAAUUAAGAAAAUUUAGAGAAUCUAAAUUAGAUU
rnacentral:tRNA from 1 species